GCCAGGCAUGGUGGCGCAUGCCUGUAAUCCCAGCUACUCAGGAGGCUGAGGCAGGAGAAUCGCUUGAACCCGGGAGGUGCAGGGUGUAGUGGGCCGAGAUCACGCCACUACACUCCAGCCUGGGCAACAAGAGUGAAACUCUGUCUCAA
rnacentral:SRP_RNA from 2 species